rnacentral:rRNA from 1 species
CCUACGGGAGACAGCAGUGAGGAAUAUUGGUCAAUGGGCGCGAGCCUGAACCAGCCAAGUCGCGUGAAGGAUGACUGCCCUACGGGUUGUAAACUUCUUUUAUAAAGGAAUAAAGUGAGGCACGUGUGCCUUUUUGUAUGUACUUUCUGAAUAAGGAUCGGCUAACUCCGUGCCAGCAGCCGCGUUAAUACGGAGGAGCCAGGCGUUAUCCGGAUUUAUUGGGUUUAAAGGGAGCGUAGAUGGGUUGUUAAGUCAGUUGUGAAAGUUUGCGGCUCAACCGUAAAAGUGCAAUUGAUACUGGCAGCCUUGAGUACAGGUGAGGUAGGCGGAAUUCGUGGUGUAGCGGUGAAAUGCUUAGAUAUCACGAAGAACUCCGAUUGCGAAGGCAGCUUACUAAACUGCCACUGACAUUGAUGCUCGAAAGCGUGGGUAUCAAACAGGAUUAGAUACCCCAGUAGUC